GAUGAACGCUAGCGACAGGCCUAACACAUGCAAGUCGAGGGGCAGCACGGUGUAGCAAUACACGGGUGGCGACCGGCACACGGGUGAGUAACGCGUAUGCAACCUGCCUACUACAAGGGGAUAACCCGUUGAAAGACGGACUAAUACCCUAUAACACAGGGAAUCCGCAUGGAUAUAUUUGUUAAAGAUUUAUCGGUAGUAGAUGGGCAUGCGUUCCAUUAGCUUGUUGGUGAGGUAACGGCUCACCAAGGCAACGAUGGAUAGGGGAACUGAGAGGUUGAUCCCCCACACUGGAACUGAGACACGGUCCAGACUCCUACGGGAGGCAGCAGUGAGGAAUAUUGGUCAAUGGACGAGAGUCUGAACCAGCCAAGUCGCGUGAAGGAAGACGGCCCUACGGGUUGUAAACUUCUUUUGUAAGGGAAUAAAUAGUCUUACGCGCUAAGACGUUGCAGGUACCUUACGAAUAAGGAUCGGCUAACUCCGUGCCAGCAGCCGCGGUAAAAGUCACG
rnacentral:rRNA from 1 species